UACGUAGGGGGCAAGCGUUGUCCGGAAUUAUUGGGCGUAAAGAGCGCGUAGGCGGUCCGAUAAGUCGGCUGUGAAAGUCCAGGGCUCAACCCUGGAAAGCCGGCCGAUACUGUCGGACUAGAGUCCGGAAGAGGCAAGUGGAAUUCCCGGUGUAGCGGUGAAAUGCGCAGAUAUCGGGAGGAACACCAAUGGCGAAGGCAGCUUGCUGGGACGGUACUGACGCUGAGGCGUGAAAGCGUGGGGAGCAAACAGG
rnacentral:rRNA from 1 species